rnacentral:rRNA from 1 species
GGAGGAUCCGAGCGUUAUCCGGAUUUAUUGGGUUUAAUGGGAGCGUAGGUGGACAGUUAAGUCAGUUGUGAAAGUUUGCGGCUCAACCGUAAAAUUGCAGUUGAUACUGGCUGUCUUGAGUACAGUAGAGGUGGGCGGAAUUCGUGGUGUAGCGGUGAAAUGCUUAGAUAUCACGAAGAACUCCGAUUGCGAAGGCAGCUCACUGGACUGCAACUGACACUGAUGCUCGAAAGUGUGGGUAUCAAACAGGAUUAGAUACCCUGGUAGUCCACACAGUAAACGAUGAAUACUCGCUGUUUGCGAUACACAGUAAGCGGCCAAGCGAAAGCAUUAAGUAUUCCACUUGGGGAGU